rnacentral:rRNA from 1 species
AGCAGCCGCGGUAAUUCCAGCUCCAAUAGCGUAUAUUAAAGUUGUUGCAGUUAAAAAGCUCGUAGUUGAAUUUCGAGACCGGCUUACUGGUCGUGCUAUUGUACGUACUGGUAUAAUCGGUUUCUCCUUUCUGACGAACUAUAAUGCCAUUAAUUUGGUGUUUUAGGGAAUCAGGACUGUUACUUUGAAAAAAUUAGAGUGUUUAAAGCAGGCUCACGCUUGAAUACAUUAGCAUGGAAUAACGGAUAGGACGUUUGAUUCUAUUUUGUUGGUUUCUAGGAUCGACGUAAUGAUUAAUAGGGAUAGUUGGGGGCAUUAGUAUUCAAUUGUCAGA